UUCAGUAUGGUCUCUUCUAAACUCACCAGCAAGGCUUUCAACGCUGUGUGAGGGCAGUCAUGCUUCUUAUGCCUCCCACGGUGCCUAAGCUUUACUUUGGGACCUGACAUGUCACUGUGCCCAGUGAACAGAGCCCUCUUAUCCCGCCUGCCACCCACCUAUGCAUUUCUCCUUUCCCACCAGGCAGCCAGACCACGUUCCUGUUGUUUCCUUUUCAGUGAUUGGCAAUAGGCCACCUGAGCCUGGAAAACCUUUCCUGCCGCCUGACUGUCAGCAGGGAGGACCCAGAGAGGCAACUGACCCAGCCGAGAUGCUUGUCUUGUUCAAGCAGGGAGUGCACUCACUGCCAAAAGCAAGAGGGACCGAGUGAGGGCAGAAGAUAUUCAGAUGGCCUGUAAGACCCCAUGAGACCACAUCCCCCA
rnacentral:lncRNA from 1 species